UAUGCAUAGUGCAUAUCAUCGGGAAGGUCA
rnacentral:piRNA from 1 species